AGAGUUUGAUCAUGGCUCAGGAUAAACGCUGGCGGCGCACAUAAGACAUGCAAGUCGAACGGAAGUCGUUAUAAAAUAGAUUGAAGAUUUAUCUGAUUGAAGUUUUGUAACAAUGGCUUUAGUGGCGGACUGGUGAGUAACGCGUGAGCAACCUGCCUACUAGAGGGGAAUAACAGUGAGAAAUCAUUGCUAAUACCGCAUAUGCCGUGAACAUCACAUGAUGAAAACGGGAAAGAAGCAAUUCGCUAGUAGAUGGGCUCGCGUCUGAUUAGAUAGUUGGUGGGGUAACGGCCUACCAAGUCAACGAUCAGUAGCCGGACUGAGAGGUUGAACGGCCACAUUGGGACUGAGAUACGGCCCAGACUCCUACGGGAGGCAGCAGUCGGGAAUAUUGCGCAAUGGGGGAAACUCUGACGCAGUGACGCCGCGUAUAGGAAGAAGGUUUUCGGAUUGUAAACUAUUGUCGUUAGGGAAGAUACAAGACAGUACCUAAGGAGGAAGCUCCGGCUAACUACGUGCCAGCAGCCGCGGUAAUACGUAGGGAGCAAGCGUUAUCCGGAUUUAUUGGGUGCAAAGGGUGCGUAGACGGGACAACAAGUUAGUUGUGAAAUCCCUCGGCUCAACUGAGGAACUGCAACUAAAACUAUUGUUCUUGAGUGUUGGAGAGGAAAGUGGAAUUCCUAGUGUAGCGGUGAAAUGCGUAGAUAUUAGGAGGAACACCGGUGGCGAAGGCGACUUUCUGGACAAUAACUGACGUUGAGGCACGAAAGUGUGGGGAGCAAACAGGAUUAGAUACCCUGGUAGUCCACACCGUAAACGAUGGAUACUAGGUGUAGGGAAUGAUUUCAUUUUCUGUGCCGCCGC
rnacentral:rRNA from 1 species